rnacentral:lncRNA from 1 species
CAUUUGUAGAAUUUCAUUGUUUUUCAAAUCCUAGUUUUAGUAUUAUGAAGUAGUAAUUGGAGUAGAAUAUCUUAUAUUUUAAUUAUAAGUCCUAUAUAUAUUGAUAUGUCAACAUUUGUACUAAGAACCAUGUUUACUACCCUUUUUUCUGUACUCCUACAAAUGUCAAUCCCAUAGUAGUCAAAAUUUCUUCUGUUUUUUUACCUAAAAAAAUAAAAAAAAAACAAAAAACAAAAAAAAACCAGCACGCUUUUUAAGUCAGAGAUUAGAGUAUAUCAAAACACAUUUAAAAAAUAAUAUUUACCGUUGAAAGAUAUAAACUUGAACAAUUUAUUUUGAUUGCUUAUAAGAGUACAACCGUAUACAGAAAAUAAUAAAAACAAAGUAACCCUUUGUCAGAGCAAGGGUGAAAGACGAUUUUUUUAUAGAAACAUUAAGAUAUGAACUUGAUUGUAUCUUAAAAAAACAAAUUAUUAUCAAAGUAAUUAUUUUUAGGCAACUCACAGUUUGACAAACACUUUUUUAAAACAUCAAGAAGUUUAUUUUCUCCGUACAAAAAGAAUGUUGAUUACAAUGUUCGGCUGAUUUUUAAAUAGUUAAAUUCCUUAUGUGUUCUGUAUCUCCUCUUGUAGAAUAACUUGCUUUGAUGUAUAAAAAUUUAGAUGUAUUUAUCAUACUAGCAUGCGUUGUACAAGAACGCCAGUAUGUCCUUCUGUUGAUCAAAAUGACAUGUUUGUUACUCACUAACAAACAGCUAUUAUACCUUAGAAGCAUAGAAAAUGUCGAUGUUUUUAUCCAUUUUCCUAAAUAUUAUAAAAAAACAUUGUUGUCGUCACUAUUUAAGAAC